rnacentral:rRNA from 1 species
AAACCAACAGGGAUUGCCUCAGUAACGGCGAGUGAAGCGGCAAAAGCUCAAAUUUGAAAUCUGGCUCCUUCGGGGUCCGAGUUGUAAUUUGGAGAGGAUGCUCUGGGAGUGGUCGCGGUCUAAGUCCCCUGGAACGGGGCGUCGCAGAGGGUGAGAAUCCCGUCUUCGGCCGCCGGCUGCAACCGUGUAGAGCUCCUUCGACGAGUCGAGUUGUUUGGGAAUGCAGCUCUAAAUGGGUGGUAAAUUUCAUCUAAAGCUAAAUACUGGUCGGAGACCGAUAGCGCACAAGUAGAGUGAUCGAAAGAUGAAAAGCACUUUGAAAAGAGAGUUAAAAAGCAUGUGAAAUUGUUGAAAGGGAAGCACAUGCGACCAGAGUCGGCCGUGGGGGUUCAGCAGGGGUCCUCCCUGUGUAUUCCCCUGCGUCGGGCCAGCAUCAGUUCUGGCGGCCGGUUAAAGGCUUCGGGAAUGUAUCCUCCUCCGGGAGAACUUAUAGCCCGAGUGCAAUGCGGUCAGCCGGGAC